rnacentral:rRNA from 1 species
UACGUAGUGUCCGAGCGUUGUCCGGAUUUAUUGGGCGUAAAGAGCGUGUAGGCGGCCAGGUAGGUCUGGUGUGAAAACUCGAGGCUUAACCUCGAGAUGUCAUCGGAAACCAUCUGGCUAGAGUCCGGAAGAGGAGAGUGGAAUUCCUGGUGUAGCGGUGAAAUGCGCAGAUAUCAGGAAGAACACCAAUGGCGAAAGCAGCUCUCUGGGACGGUACUGACGCUGAGACGCGAAAGCGUGGGGAGCGAACAGG